rnacentral:rRNA from 1 species
UAGUCCACGCCGUAAACGAUGGUCACUAGCUGUUCGGACUUCGGUCUGAGUGGCUAAGAGAAAUUGAUAAGUGACCCACCUGGGGAGUACGUUCGCAAGAAUGAAACUCAAAGGAAUUGACGGGGGCCCGCACAAGCGGUGGAGCAUGUGGUUUAAUUCGAUGAUACGCGAGGAACCUUACCAGGGCUUAAAUGUAAGUUGCAUUAGUUAGAGAUAGCUAUUUCUUCGGAACUGAUAGUGAGGUGCUGCAUGGUUGUCGUCAGCUCGUGCCGUGAGGUGUUGGGUUAAGUCCCACAACGAGCGCAACCCCUGGUUCUAGUUGCCAGCACAUAAUGGUGGGGACUCUAGAGCAACUGCCGGCGUAAGCCGGGGGAAGGUGGGGACGACGUCAAAUCAUCAUGGCCUUUAUGCCCAGGGCGACACACGUGCUACAAUGGUGCAUACAGAGGGUCGCGAAGCCGCGAGGUGGAGCCAAUCCCAGAAAGUGCAUCCCAGUUCGGAUUG